rnacentral:rRNA from 1 species
AUUGAACGCUGGCGGCAGGCUUAACACAUGCAAGUCGAGCGGGGAAGGGUAGCUUGCUACCUAACCUAGCGGCGGACGGGUGAGUAAUGCUUAGGAAUCUGCCAUUUAGUGGGGGACAACAUUCCGAAAGGAAUGCUAAUACCGCAUACGUCCUACGGGAGAAAGCAGGGGAUCUUCGGACCUUGCGCUAAAUGAUGAGCCUAAGUCGGAUUAGCCAGUUGGUGGGGUAAAGGCCUACCAAGGCGACGAUCUGUAGCGGGUCUGAGAGGAUGAUCCGCCACACUGGGACUGAGACACGGCCCAGACUCCUACGGGAGGCAGCAGUGGGGAAUAUUGGACAAUGGGCGGAAGCCUGAUCCAGCCAUGCUGCGUGUGUGAAGAAGGCCUUAUGGUUGUAAAGCACUUUAAGCGAGGAGGAGGCUACUUAGAUUAAUACUCUAGGAUAGUGGACGUUACUCGCAGAAUAAGCACCGGCUAACUCUGUGCCAGCCGCCGCAGUAA